CUUAUGUUUGAAGGGAAAGCAAAGCUGCGAGAUUUUCGUCAAAGAGGAGCCGCAGGAACCGGACUGUCUGUGGAGAGACCACGCGUCGAAAGAGUACGUGUUGCAGGUGCGGCACGCCAACGGGAAAGUCACCUACGUGCCCCGAAGCACCCUGACCUUGCAUCCGCACUGCGCAUUCGUUGUGCGCUUCCGCCGCUGGCUCGACGGCUGGAGGAUCUACGUCAACGACGUUCUGGUGGCACACGGUGACGGCCAGUCAGUCUGUGAGAGUAGCCUGCAGCUGGUGGUGAACGGAUGCUGGGACGUCAAGUCGGUGCACAUCCCAGCCGCAACGCUCCCGUCUCCGUGCAGCAUAAAGUUGGCCGCACCUUUGGGCGUCGGCGACCGUGUCAACAUCUUCGGAACUCUGAACGCCGCGCCAGGCAGGAACAUGUG